UCUGAUAUUGUUGAGAUCUGAUAGUGAAGAGUGCCCUUUGUAGGCGCCCAUCCAGCAAACUAAAAUAUCAAAUUAACAAACAUACUAGCCUAUAAGUAUUCAACCAAACCAGUACUGAAGAAUCAACCAACAAUUAGUCUAAAACUCAGAAAGAAGAAAUAAAAUUAAAAAAAUAAAAAAUAAAAACUAUACUAACACAUACUCGAUUCCCCACUUGACUAAACGAAGAAUAGCCUAAGGAGCACUAAUUAAAAAUUACGCAGCAACCAAAAAUGAAGAAAAAAAGAAAACCAAAAUAUGAACUUUGGAAAAGAAACUAACGUUUGAGUAAAAAGAGAAAUAAAGAAAACCAAAAUAUGAACUUUGGAAAAGAAACUAACGUUUGAGUAAAAAGAGAAAUAAAGAAAACAUAAAAAUAAAUGGAGAAUGUAAAAGAGAAUGAGAGCGUG
rnacentral:lncRNA from 1 species